GCUCUCUGGGUGGCGAGUGGCGGACGGGUGAGGAAUACAUCGGAAUCUACUCUGUCGUGGGGGAUAACGUAGGGAAACUUACGCUAAUACCGCAUACGACCUACGGGUGAAAGCAGGGGAUCUUCGGACCUUGCGCGAUUGAAUGAGCCGAUGUCGGAUUAGCUAGUUGGCGGGGUAAAGGCCCACCAAGGCGACGAUCCGUAGCUGGUCUGAGAGGAUGAUCAGCCACACUGGAACUGAGACACGGUCCAGACUCCUACGGGAGGCAGCAGUGGGGAAUAUUGGACAAUGGGCGCAAGCCUGAUCCAGCCAUACCGCGUGGGUGAAGAAGGCCUUCGGGUUGUAAAGCCCUUUUGUUGGGAAAGAAAUCCAGCUGGCUAAUACCCGGUUGGGAUGACGGUACCCAAAGAAUAAGCACCGGCUAACUUCGUGCCAGCAGCCGCGGUAAUACGAAGGGUGCAAGCGUUACUCGGAAUUACUGGGCGUAAAGCGUGCGUAGGUGGUCGUUUAAGUCCGUUGUGAAAGCCCUGGGCUCAACCUG
rnacentral:rRNA from 1 species